UACGAAGGGGGCUAGCGUUGUUCGGAAUCACUGGGCGUAAAGCGCGCGUAGGCGGAUCGUUAAGUCGGGGGUGAAAUCCUGAGGCUCAACCUCAGAACUGCCUUCGAUACUGGCGAUCUUAGAGUCCGGGAGAGGUGAGUGGAACUCCUAGUGUAGAGGUGAAAUUCGUAGAUAUUAGGAAGAACACCAGUGGCGAAGGCGGCUCACUGGCCCGGUACUGACGCUGAUGUGCGAAAGCGUGGGGAGCAAACAGG
rnacentral:rRNA from 1 species